CAGCUCCAACUGGAACUCCAGGGCAGAGGGGAAAACAGCAGGGAGGGUGAGAGACACUCCUCCAGCACUAUUCAGCACUACCAUCUUUCAUCAGCCAAGCACUUCACUUCCUCCCCCUUGAAGUGAGCUCAGUGUCAGUGAAGUCAGAGGGAGCUGUGCCUUUGGCCUCAGUGGGGAGCAGGAUUUGGCCUGAAGCUGCAAAACUGCCACCUGAAAUUUUAACCAAAGAUUUUUCUCCAGGACUUUGUCAUUUGGAGUCUGGAUUACCUCUGCACCCUGGUUCCCAGCAGCUGUAGCCUUUUCUGCUGCAAGUUCUCCUAGAAGGUUCUUGUCCUGCCUUGCCGAUGGGAAUGCCUUACCCCACUUUGAAUGUCCCACCACUGUACCACCAAAGAGCAGGAGAAAUUAAGACAGAGGAGUGUCCAUAACAAGGUGCCCUUGCUCUUCUGCAGCUCUCCCUGUACUGGAACUCCUGCCUGCUGGAUAUGGGAAGGCACGAGAUAACCUGUCCGUAGUUCAGCUGAGUCAAAUUUUGGCCUGACAGUGAGGACUUGAGUGAAAGCCUGGAGAAAAAGACCUGCAGGAAGAACAGGUCAUGAUCAGCAAUCUACUGUCAGUCUUCAGACAUUUCUAUGAGCUUCAAUGGAAGUUAAAGGCCCGUUGCAGAUACGCCUUUCUGAAGAUGUUUCCUACAGUACAAUACUUUUAAAUUUUAAAAGAAAAAUACUGCUCUGCAGAAAAUAACCCUUCAUGUGGCACAAAACACAAUUCUGAGCAACAACCAGAUCUGCAGAUGUUUGAUUCUUUUGCACAAUAUCUUACAUCACCUUCCUCAGUUCUCUAGAAAAUGCACAAUGAAAUACAAGCAAGUAUAUAAUUUUAUUUUUGUUGUGAAGCAAUUCUUCUCAUGAAAGAUAGGAACUCCGGAGAGUACUUCAGACUGUCUUUUAUAGUUUCUGUAACUAUAACUAAAACAGGUUUUCAACAUAAAUCAGAGUGAUAUGACUAUUUACAAAUCUUAUACAGUGCGUUUUUGUUCUUUCUGUGCAAAAUUCUUACAGGAUCCAAUAGGAAAUUAGUCUUUUACAUUCAGCUUCAAAGACAACAUUCUCAUUUAUAGCAAACAUUCUCAUUUCUUGAAAAAAAAAAGAAAAAUAUGAGAGCAGGUGAUGGUGAAGGAAGCUGGGAGACUUGGGGUAUUUGGGAGUUUUCCCUCUGUGCAACACACACACUGUGGUGAGGCUGUGAAACCAUUUCAUUAUGAGGUGCCAACAGAAGUGCAUGUUCCAGAUUUACCCAGCUGGGUCACUGGAAGCCAGGGAGCAAAUCCCCAGGUUAUGCUGCAUAGACUUUUACAUGUGGCUGGUGUA